GAGCCCUGACCCAGCUGUGUCUCAGUCACACUAAUGCAUUCACUCAGUUCUCGCCACAAGGGCUCAAGUGCAACAUUUAAAUUCCACAUGGUGGCCUGCUCCUCCUGUUCCCCAUCACUGUCCAGCCCUGUAUUCUCAUUAACACUGGAUGAGUUGAGCGAGCUGAGUGCCUGCAACACACGCAAGAUUGCUGCCCCAGCCAUGGAACCUGCACUAAGACCCAGCAUCUGUGUAUUCCUCAGAGUGACAAGCUCACUGACAGCUGAAUUGCUCAAACUAUGAGCUAAUUCUGAAAGCUCUGAACUGAAGAACUU
rnacentral:misc_RNA from 1 species